rnacentral:miRNA from 1 species
UGCUGUGACCCUCUAGAGGGAAGCACUUUCUGUUGUCUGAAAGAAA